AGAGGUGCCAAGCGUUAGGCGGAAUCACUGGGCUUAAAGCGUGUGUAGACGGAGCGUUAAGUGCCUUGUGAAAUCCCACGGCUUAACCGUGGAACUGCUGGGCAUACUGGCGUUCUUGAGCCAGCCAGGGGUCGUCGGAACAAACGGUGGAGCGGUGAAAUGCGUAGAUAUCGUUUGGAACGCCAAAGGCGAAAGCAGACGACUGGGGCUGAGCUGACGCUGAGGCACGAAAGCCAGGGGAGCAAACGGGAUUAGAUACCCCGGUAGUCCUGGCCCUAAACGAUGUCCACUGGAUCGUGGUUCCUCUGAAGGAUUCACGGUCGGAGCAAAAGUGUUAAGUGGACCGCCUGGGAAGUACGGUCGCAAGGCUA
rnacentral:rRNA from 1 species